UUCUGCUACCAGGACACCAUUUGGAAUGCUUGCCAUACCUCUGGUGGAAAUGUGACGAGCAAUUUUGUCAAUGUUUGGCGGUGCACCCCUCAAUUUUCUGGGACAAGAUGGACAUGGCAUCUGGCUCCCCAUUAUGACCCGUGCCGCAGCAGGGUAGUUUCUCGUUCAUGGGGAGGCUGGUGGGGGCAGUGCGACAGAGGUCAGGCUGUUUUUGUACAUUUAAUGACAGUCAUUGUUCAUGGGGUGCCUCGUGCAACGAAUGCUCUGCCUGCGGGCCUGCUCAUCCCAUCUCCCGCUAGUAAGACAGGGGAUCGGGGUACUACGGGCAACGACACCAUUUGUCGUAAGCACAAUGUGCCGAUAGCUCAUCCGUUGGGCAGCCAAGAUCCUGUUGUAAGGCAUUGGGCACGGUUUUUGGAUUCCUUUCUCUGUCGCCCCCCUUCGUUGCUGAUUCGGAACCUUUGGUCAGUCCGGGAUUUUCAUGCAUGUGGUCAAAAACGCUUGUCUCUGGGUCGCAAGGCCGGUCCCUUUAGCGACCCCCCUUUACUCGACUGGCUACUCUCCCCCUUGGGCAUGGUUUCCCAAGGAGGAGCAAAGGAAAUACUGUUUGAUUCUUCAUUUGUCAGGCAUUUGUGUGGUUUUGCAUGAGGACAUCUCUUCGGGACUUUGGGGCAUCGAGAUUGAUUCUGUGGCGGGUUUAUGCCGCUUGCCUCGGAUCCAGUUCGCGGCUCACGGCGGGUCGUGGCUGGCCCUAGGGCUCCAUAAGAUCUGACUGCAUGACGUCCGGGGUCACCGGACUGUUAGGAUGAGAAUGCCAGCCCACACGGUGCAGAGGAUCGGGAGGUGGGAUUCUGGGCGUCUUGUCUGAUAUGUUCGUCCGCUGGUCUCCUGAGUUGAGGUACUAUCCACCAGUUCGACUCCCACCAAGGUUUUGGUGAUCGUGCACUCUUCUGUAUUCUGGACCAGGAGGCAUGCAGCUAUCCGUCUGGGAGGUGAGCUAUUGGGUUUUACGUAGAAGCAGAGAUUUGUUGGUUUGGUGCCAGAGGUAUGAAAUGGGUUCAGCUCCUCCUGGAGCAGUUUCAGCUGUCCUGCCUCCAAAUGUUCGGGGUAUCCACCUGGGGGGGAAUGUGCUUGGGACGAUACCAAUGUGGGGUUUUGGCGUAUGCCCUUCAGAGGGUCUUGG